rnacentral:lncRNA from 1 species
GAAGCUCUAUCAUCGAAGCAAAUGGUAGUAAAACGGCUCGUUUACUACUGAUAGUAUUCUAGCAAAACUUUAUAUAUAUAUAUAUAUAGUGUAGACUACUAUACUAUCGAAAAUAUAAAGGAUUUGAUGUUUUCGAAUUUUUGACCAUUUGAUUAAGAAUUGUAUGGUUGGGAUGAUUGCGGUCCCUCUAGGAUUAAAUAAUAUCUCUAGGAUUGAGUGGUUCCUACACAGAAAUAAUAGUAUUAAAUUUAAAGAAAUGAUUUAAAGGGUUGAUCUAAGAAUCAAAAAUCGAAAGCACCAUAUCCUCUAUACUUUCGAUAGCAUAAUAGCACCAUAUAUAUAUUAUAUAUUAUAUAUAUAUAAUAUAUAUAUAUAGUAUAUAUAUAUAGAGUAGGGCUACUAUCUCUUAUGAGUAGUGGACCCUUACUACUCAUAAGUUAUUUCGAUGAUAGAGCUUCCGAAUCGACGAUCCACUCCGUUAAAUAUGAUCUAGAGUAUUUGAAACUUCUAGAAAUAAAUUUCGUAAUUUUUCGAAAUCAUAAUAAAGUCCAUCAAGCGGGCAUAAAAUGAACGGUCAAAAUCGAACGACGUCCUAAAAUGGAUGAUGGAUCCCUCAAUUUAAGAUCGGAGUUAUUGAUCUUAUCAUAGGUAGUGUAUAGAAUUUCUAUCAAAAAUUCAACCUAUUCCGAUUCUUUUCCACGUUAAACUAGCAGUAUCCAUACCGGCCGUUAAAAUUGUCAAUUUUGUGAGCUUUUGAUCAUAAGGUAAAUGAUGUCGAUAAAAUUAUGAAAUUUAAUUUCUAGAAGUUUAAAAUGCUCUAGAUCAAUUUAACGAGUGGAUCGUCGAUUCGGAAGCUCCAUCAUCGAAAACAACUUAUGAGUAGUAAGGGUCCACUACUCAUAAGAGUAUAGUAGCCCUACUCUAUAUAUAUAUAUAUAUAUUUGAGCUUUUCGAGCUUUUCAAGUCUAAUUCGAACGAGCCGAGUAAUACUCAAGUUUGGCUUGAAAUGAAUUUCGAGUUUUUUUUUUUUUGUUCAAGCUUGGCUCAUUUAAUUUCGAGUCGAGCUCGAGCGAGCCAAAUAUCCAGUCGAACGCGAGCCGGCUCGCUCAUUUGCCCGCCCUAGUCGCAAGUCGCACCGGUUGAAUCUGCUAGUUCAACCCGUUCGGUAAUUAUAAAAGUUUAAGGACCAUACAAAGCUUAGAUGAAACUUUAGGGACAAGCAGUUCAGUUUAUCCAAAAAGAAAAUAGUUUAGGGGGCUAUUUUGAGCCUUACGGCACGUUUGGUUCAAAAUAGGAAUUGAAAUGAGAAUCGAAAUCGGAAUAGACCGGAAUCGGAAAUGGGAUUGUAAAAUCCUCUAAUAUGUUUGGUUUAGAAUAGCAAUGGGAUUGGGAAUAGUUGGUUCCUGUUUUUAUUGUUUGGUCGAGAUAUAAAAAAAAUUUUAGUUAUCAAAAAUAAUAAUUAAAAUAAAAUUUAAAUUUAAAUAUAAAAAUAAUUUAAAAUUUUGCAGCUCAAAACAUAAAAUUAUAUAAUUUAAAUUCAAACUGAAAAUUAAAUAUUAAAAAUUUACAUCAAAAUUUUGAAAGGAUGUCAAAAUUUUAAAUAUAUUCUUUUAAAAAAAUUAAAUUUGAAAUUGAGUGGAUAAUUCAAAAAUAUAAAACUAAAAUUUGAUUUAUUUAAAUUCAAACUUAAAAUUACAUUUAAAUUUCAAUUUGAAUCCAUAAAAUUUAAUUUAAAUUUAAUUUAAAAUUUAAAUAAAAUUUUAAAUUUUAAAUUAAAUUUAAAUUUAAAUUUAAAAUUUUUAAAUUAGAUUCAAAAUAUUUUAUUGAAUUUUAAUUUUUAAUUUAAGUUCAAAUUAAAAAUUUAAUUUAAAUUUAUAUUUUAAUUAAAAAAUAAUGUUAAAAGAAUUAAAUUUAAUCUGGGCAAACAUCUAUUCCGUUCAAAUUCAAUUUCUAAACUGACCUCCUUUAAGUCGAAAUGGAAAAAAAAGUUGAUUGGGGAAUUCACAUUCCACCCGGAAUUCGGAAUUGGAAUGAUACUCCUGCAUAGCAAAUAUUGGAAAUAGAAUCGUACAUUCUGAUUCUGAUUUUUGGGUGAAAAUUGAGCGAACCAAAUACGCACUAAGUUGCUUUAUAGUUGAGGGAAGGGGGAGUUAGUUAAGUUACAAUUUACCCAAAACAGAGUAGUUGGGGGGCAUAUUUCAUCAGAAGUAUAGUUAAGGGGUCAAAAUGAAAAGGGUUAAAUGCAUUUAUGUCUCUACAAAUAUAGUAAACUAUAAAUAUGUCCUAUAAAUAUGUCCUUAUAAAAUUUAACUUCGUAUUGUGUUUUUGCAAAAGUUCUAAUAUUUUUAAAUUUGUUCAUCUGGUUUGUUACAGUUAUAAAAUUAUUUAUAUCUUAAGCGAAAUGUCAAUUUUACCAUCACAAAUAUGUCCCUACAAAAGCCACAACAAUAUAAUAUAAGAGGGGCAAAAAUAUCAAGUUAUCUUAUAAAUUAACUAAAAUUAAGCAUUUAAUCUAUGAUUAAUUAAAGUUUUUUAACGGAUUCUAACGGUAGAGACAUAUUUGAAAGGGGCAAUGUCACGCUCCGGUUGUCUCGUUCCCCGGGCACGCCGACAAAUCCGCCGUAUACAAAGAAAUUUUCUCUGUAUACGAAGCGACAGCUGUACCUGUAAAUCAAACACUACUACGAACAGUAGUAGAGAGCUGCUAGAGAAAACUGAAGCUAAACAAACUGAGUUUCAUAUAUAUAGUCCAAAACCAAAAUACAGAGCUACUCGCAUUGGCGAGUUAAGUCAACUAUAUACAUAAACUCGAAACAAAAUAUCUACCUGCAGUAGGGGCACCUCUAGCUCAGCACGUCGGGUAGGGCUCUAACUCGCGACGCCCUUGCCUUGAUCCUGGUCCGCGGAUGGUGCAGCAGCCGGAACAUGUGGCUCUCCAAAAACAUAGGUAACAACUGGGCGUGAGAACUACUGUAAAAACAAGUAGUUCUCAGUGGGUACCGCCCAAAACAACAUCGGUCAUCCACUAAGUUUACAGAAGGGAGUAAGGAUAGUAGGAAAAACAGGAAGUACACUCUGCCGCUAUCAAUCACUACACUAUCAUGCUCUACGCUAACCAACUGUAGGAAAUGUCAAAUCUGACCCAAUCCAAUCGGGAAUGUAAGCAUACCCGUCCCCCGUGACUGUGAAUACACCCGUCCCUGCCCCGUUGCAACUAUCAGGCUCUAUCCACACUAACUGGUCCGUGGAGAGCAAGUCCAACUUGCAUGAGCGACACCAACGCGAAAGCACAAAACCUGACUCCGGAGUGGCACUUGUGGGCGCUACCCAACCGAGUAUGCAGCGUAUUUCUGUCGAGCUCAAACAGGCUGUGAAAAGCCAAAGUUAAGAAAUCGACUCAAACUGGUCUAACAACCAACAAGUAACGUGCCCUCGGCACAAUCAGACGCCAAAAAAGCGAUACGGGUCCACCGUCAACCUCAACGGCACCCUACAGUCCGGAACAGUCUGAACGACCCUGUAAAAUCCCCUCGGCGAAACAGCACGAGUGUAGAUAUACUCUAAACUACCCGGAGUACUCGUCUCGAAGAUACCGCGACAGUACAAUUUACUAACGGCUCCUGGAGCUAAAUCAGGCAGUUUAAUCAAGUGACGGGUCCAAAUCGCAGAUUUUUUUCCAAUUCAAUUUCCAAGUCCAACAUGUAUAACCUGUUCAAUUUAUUAUCACAUGCUCCAAAUUUAGAUAUGCAAUCUACCAUUAAAUCUAUGAAUUCGAGCUAGAAUAAAGUAUCCAAAGGUCGAUAAUUAUACAUGCCGACGAAUAUGAACUUAGGAGUAGAAACCGAUGUAACCCACCUCAAACGCUAAUCUCUGGCAGCGAAGGACUCCCACUGGCGUAGAGCAACCUGCUGGAUUACCCGGAACCCGCCGAGUACAGAAAUCGCCUAAGCUCAAGCUCUAAGUAACAAAACUCACCAAUUCAGUCCAGAAAUUGCAGCAGUGAGGUACAACAGGGAUUCAACCAAGCUAACCUUCACCAAAAUUCACAAGUAAGGGCUUCAUGGAUUCCUCUCGCAGUCCCGAAUCCAACGAACCAAGCCUCGUCGAAAUCCGAUGCUCCUAUGCGAAGUACGAGCUGAAACGCCAACUGUCGACGGCGAAAAAAAACAGCAAAACAGCAAUUAAGCUUAAUUUUGAUGAUACCCGAAGUAUUCGAAGCCAUUCCAACAGAACACUCACCUCAACAGCGACUAGCACCGGCGCGACGUCACGAACAGCGAAGUCGCACGCUCGCCCGGUCUCCUCGCAAUGCCCCGGCGUCAAAUACGUGCUCGAACGAUCCCGCAGCGCGACGUAGGUGACGAAACUCCAACUAAGUUCCUUCCUUGCCUUCAACCGGAUGGGAGAGUGAGAGGGAAAGGAGAAGCACAAGUAAACUCUCUCUCUCUCAGCUCACAGCAGCCUUUGUAGAGAGAAAGUUGGUAGGAGAUACAAACGAGGUGGAAAAAUUACCUAAUUACCCUGUCACCUACCCCCUUGUACCGGUACACGGGCUCCUGUACCGGUACAAGAGCCAACCCGAGAGCAGUUGAGCCAUUGCGUGCUGGUUGUACCGGUACAGCUACUCUGCUUGUAUCGGUACAGUAAGCAGAGAAUGCUGCUGUUUUGCAGAAUUCUUCGCGAUAAGCUGCCCUCGCGUCGCACGGAGUCCGUUUUACGUCUAUUUGACGCCAACGCGACUCGGACUUGUUCCGACACUCUCCAGAGCUAUCGACAAGCCUCCACAGUCAAACACCAGGGAUCUCACAGGCAAUUUCUUAUAUACCCUUGAAAAGUUUCCGACUUUUCGAUUUAUCCCUCUUAGAAGGCUAAUAUUGAAAAUACCCCUCCUACGUUCCAACCUAUUUCUAAUAUACCCUUAGAGUUAAAAUCUGUUAAGUAACACUGUUAUCUCUGUAAAAUUACUAUUUUGCCCUUUUCAAAUAUACCAUUCUACCAUCAUUGUCUUUCUUAUUUGCCCUUAAAGUCAGGGGCACAAAAAGUAUUUCAACUUUUUUUCUUUUCCAAUAUACUCCUCUACCGUAACCAACCUUUCUUAUUUGCCCUUAAGUUAAGGGCAAAAUUGGCAUUUUAAUUUUUUUUAACUGUGAUAGAUAUUUAACUCACGUUUAACUAAGGUUAACUUAACAUGAGAUAACUACAGGGGUAUUUUGCAAUAACCGUAGAACAGGGCAUUUUAGAAAGUAAAAAAAAGUAGGGUUAUAUCGGAUAUUUUCAGACACAUGAGGAGUAUAUAGGCAAUUAUCCCUAUUUGAAAAUAUUAGAAAUUUUACAGAGACAAGAUAUAAAAGUUAAGCUUUAUAAAAAUACACCUAUAAUUUUCUAUAUUUAUAGAGAGGUGUAAGAAAUUAACCCAAAUGAAAAUUGCACUGCUCUAACUAAUACUCUCUCUGGAAGCAUCUGUACGCUUCCAAAUUUCCGUUUCCUCUCUCACUCUCUCUCCUCUCCCCGAGAACUCUCUAGAACCCCACCACCUCUCCACACUAUAUAAACCCCCUCUCCUCUCCCUCCCCUCGCCAUUGGAAUCGCCACAACCCACAUUGCCUUUCUCUCUCUCUCUCUCUGCGCUCUCAAAGCUUCUACGCGUUCUUCGUCUUCUUCGUGUUCGAGGAGCCAUGGACGAGGACUUCGAGUUCCCUGCGGCCGGGGAGGAGAUGAACGAGGACGCCAUGGACUUCGGCGACGAGGUGAGCCCGGUCAUGAAGGUCGGGGAGGAGAAGGAGAUCGGGAAGCAGGGGUUGAAGAAGAAGAUCGUCAAGGAGGGAACGGGGUGGGACACCCCCGACGUCGGCGACGAAGUCGAAGGUACGCGUCGUUGUUUCGAUCCGUUUCGUAGCUUCUGAUCUAGGGUUUGGAUGGAAUUGUGUGAUCUACAGUGUGUAGGAAUUUGGGAUUUGUGUGUAAUUUGUAGCGUCUUGUAUUGAUGAGAUUGUGUCGAGCGCUUCGGUAGAUGAUGCGAAUAAUACUGGAGAAUCAAAACUCAGACUAGCUCUGUUAUUACGUUAUUAGAAGAUCGAUCUCAUAGUGGGGAUUACUGAAUCAGGUUAGCUGUGUAAAUGAUGAGAAUAGUGAGGAUAUUCAUCGCGUAUUUUGCAAAUGGAGUAGAUUUGAAAUCAUGUUACUGAUAUGAUUGAUUCGGUAGGAGGAGAUCAGAAAUAGUCUCAAUAUCUUUCAGAGAAUUUGGAGAUGUGGGCGUGUCUUAUUGUGAUCAAUAAGUGCGGUUUUGGCUUAAUUUUGAGUGUUGAUUGCUUUUGCAGUGCAUUACACUGGGACGCUGCUUGAUGGGACCAAGUUCGACUCGUGGAUCGCCCUUCAAGUUUAAGCUUGGCCAAGGUGAGCUUUGAUAGUGCGCAACUAUUGAUCUGGAUCAAAAUCCGUAAUGUAACUUAUGAUACAUUCAUAAAUCAAGCUGUUUCAAUUUGUUCACCAUCAAUAAACAACACAUUUAUAGUGAUUUGUCUUUGGUGCCAUGGUUUUUAAUUCAUUGAAUCGAGCAAACUGUGACUUGCUGGCAGUGGACUGCAUCCUAUUAACUUCUUUUUUCUUUUUCUUUGUUUUGAAUCUGUUUAUCUAACCUGAUUUGUUUAUCCAAUGGGGGCAUGUUAAACAAGUUCGAUAUGCAUUAGUUGAGCUCAACGAGUUCGAACUGAGAUGUGUAUCUGUAUGAUUAUGAUGUGAAAACUAUUUUUUUGGUAUUAUGGGUUUAUGCUCUAUUUGGUGCAUAGUUUAACCAUGUAUAGGAGAAUUGAUUUUGUGUAUUGUGAAAACAUAUUAAAGAGAUUACUGUUAUGCCAAAAAAGGCUAUUUAUUUCACUAUUUUUUAAUAUAGACAUUUAUAUGUUUGAACCUACUUUUGAGUCCAUGAAAAGAUUCAAGAUCGAUACGCAAACUUGCAUUCAUGUCUCAUAAAACUCCGCACGAUGCUUGCUCCAAACUUGUUUUUUCUAAUGGAUUCUUUCUAGUUGCCUCAAGUAAUGCGUUGAUGUGCAUAUGAUGCCAGGUACAAAUCAAGUAUAUACAAUAAUAAGAUAUACUUGUGUAUUAUUUUCUUUUUUUCUUCUUUUUUUUAUACAUUUUGUUUGGAUUAAGGUAUUAAUCUAGGUUGUACAGGGAAAUCCGGUGUUACUCAGCGCAAGCUAAUUGAGAUCUUCUUACAUCUUAUUUCUGGUUGUAUUAGCAUUGCAUUCAACUAAAUGUUCCUUUCUAUUUUCAGGCCAAGUAAUUAAGGGUUGGGACCAAGGUAUUAAGACUAUGAAGAAAGGCGAAAACGCCAUCUUCACCAUCCCUCCGGAGUUAGCUUAUGGGGAGUCCGGCUCUCCUCCUACAAUUCCUCCCAACGCCACACUGCAGUUCGAUGUUGAGUUACUCUCCUGGGUAAGUGUGAAAGAUAUAUGCAAAGAUGGUGGCAUCAUUAAGAAGAUUUUGACUGAAGGAGAGAAGUGGGAGAAUCCUAAAGACCUAGAUGAAGUUCUUGGUAUUACAUCCUUUCUUUCUUUUUUUUUUUUUAACUUUACUUCUCAUUGAUCAUAGAAGUACCCAUUAUAACCUUUCCUUUUUCUUCUAUGCAGUUAAAUAUGAGGCCCGACUUGAGGACGGAGCUGUUAUAUCGAAAUCUGAUGGGGUGGAGUUCACCGUAAAAGAUGGUAGGUAUCCUUCGUCUAUCGCCUAAUUUUGGAUUUAAAAGAUUUAGCCUACUAAUGUGGUGUCUAUUCUGCUUAGGUUUCUUCUGUCCCGCAUUAUCGAAGGCUGUGAAAACAAUGAAGAAGGGCGAAAAGGUUCUCCUCACCGUGAAACCACAAUGUGAGUUUGUCGUAAUUGGCCCGAAUUGAUUUGCGUACAUGCAGUUGAAAUGGAAAUGGCUGAGCUGAUUCCCUUUCUUUUGGUCAACAGACGCCUUCGGUGAGAAUGGUAGGCCAGCUUCUGGUGACGAGGGCGCAGUUCCUCCCAAUGCCACCCUCAAUAUUGAGCUUGAAUUGGUCUCCUGGAAGUCCGUUACACAGAUCGGUGAUGAUAAGAAAGUUCUUAAGAAGAUUCUUAAAGAAGGAGAAGGCUAUGAGCAUCCGAAUGAUGGCGCAGUUGUUCAGGGUAGAUAGCUAUCUUUUUAUUUUUCUUAAACUUUUAUACAUUUUCAUAUUUUAGCUUCUUCUGAAGUUGUUGAUAAUACUAUUUUAUGCAGUUAAACUCAUUGGAAAGCUCGAGGAUGGAACAGUCUUUGUUAAGAAGGGCCAUGACGGGGAGGAGCCAUGCGAGUUUAAGACAGACGAAGGUAACAAUUUUAUAAAAUUAAGAAGAUUUGCUUUUUCUUGGCUUUCUCUGCAAUGUGGUUCUUAUUGAAGGGCUUUUCUGUGGUGAACAGAGCAAGUUGUUGAAGGAUUGGACCAAGCUGUGGUCACGAUGAAGAAAGGAGAAGUUGCCUUGGUGACAAUUCCACCGGAGCAUGCAUUCGGAUCAGCUGAAUCGCAGCAAGAACUCGCAGUGGUACCGCCAAAUUCUACCGUCUAUUACGAGGUGGAGCUUGUAUCCUUUGAGAAGGUCAGUAUAAGUUAUUCAAUUCGAUCCAUCUGUUGUUGUUUUUAGCCCUGGCUUUUAUGGAUAACUCAAAUAUUUCCUAACUUUAGGAGAAGGAAUCCUGGGAUAUGAAUAACGCUGAGAAGAUUGAAGCGGCUGGGAAAAAGAAAGAAGAAGGAAAUGCAUUGUUCAAAGCGGGUAAAUACGCCAAGGCCUCCAAGAGAUACGAGAAGGUAAAUAAGACCUUAAUAUCUUGUAUAAUACAUCUGUGAAUUUGUAAAAUAUCGUGAUGGGAAUCUGAUUUUGAAAUUGCCUGUUUUUUCACGAGUAGGCUGCGAAAUAUGUCGAGUAUGAUAGUUCCUUCAGUGAAGAAGAGAAGAAGCAAUCCAAGGUAUUAAAGGUCACCUGCAAUCUCAACAAUGCCGCUUGCAAACUGAAGCUCAAACAGUACAAAGAAGCAGAGAAACUUUGUACCAAGGUAUUGUGCCGAAUUUAUAUUUAACUUAAUUUUUUCUCGAAGGACAGGGAGAUGAAUAACUAUGUGAAACAUUUAAAUUUUCCAGGUAUUGGAAAUCGAGAGUACGAAUGUGAAGGCACUAUACAGAAGGGCGCAAGCGUACAUACAACUUGCCGACCUGGAUUUGGCGGAGAUGGACAUCAAAAGGGCUCUAGAAAUUGAUCCGGAUAACAAGUAUGCCUUCGAUCCGUCGUAAAGUUAUAUAUGUCUUGUGCUUUAAGAUUUGUUGGUUUUUAACUAGACUGUCGUGCUUUUUGUUGAUCAGGGAUGUGAAGAUAGAAUACAAGAUUCUGAAGGAGAAGGUCAAGGAGUACAACAAGAGAGAUGCCAAGUUCUAUGGCAACAUCUUUGCUAAAUGGGGCAAAUUAGAGCACAUGGAAGCCAAUGUAAGGCUCAUUUUUUUUUUUUUCUGUUUUCUUUUUUUUCAUCUCUCUCUCUCUCUCUAAUCAGCAUGAAUAUCUUUUAAUGUGUCGCAGAAGAACAGCGGGAAGCAGGUCGCAGAGCCUAUGGUCAUAGACAGCACAGCGUAAGCGUGUCGUAAGCACCAGUAAAUUUGAUGUUGCUAGUACCGUAUUCUGUUAUAGAGUGCUUAUAGAGUGCAUAUCUGACUAUAGCUUAUAUACCUGCAAUACAACUGAGCACCCCCCACAAAAAAAAAAAAAAAAAAAAAAAAAAAAAAAAAAAAAAAAAAAAAUGCUGUUUGUAGUAACUAGUGCUUGAUAUUAUUAGGGACUAUUUCUCCUCUACUGCAGUAAAAAUUUGCCAUAACCCUGUUUGAUAUUAUUGUAUGUUCAAUUUUAUUCCGAUGUGCCGACGAACUGCAUAAAUCGAUAACUAGAAUCAUGCUCUUUAGCUGAAGAAAGUGAAAUAAGUCGUUUAGAUACGAAAAGAAGUUAUUACUACUAAGUCUAUUCAAAUAGGUGUUUUGCACUCCAGGUUUGUAUAGAGCUUAUCUGAGUUGUCGCCUAUUUGAUUUUCAUACUCUUUCAUUUGAAAACUUAAAACAAAAUUUAAAGUUCCGCCCAUAAAAAUUAAAAUAUUUGAAGCUUGGUUUGUUCGGUCAAAUAGAUGAUAUUUGCAGAUUUAUUUGUUUUCUUUUUUUUUGUAGUCCUUGAAUGCUUUGGGUUUAGUAGAGAUAGAAGAGUUGUAGAUAGAUUUAUAAGAGUAGAAAAGUUAAAAUGUAUGUGAAUAAUAAUAGCUUUCGAAGUUUUCUGACUCAAACUCAGAAGUUGUUUAGAAGUUCUAAUAUGAGGCCCAUAAGUUUCGACACUCUUCUACAAAAUUGAAAUAAAGGGUGGGACUACAAUUUAACAAUGUGAUACCAUCAAUAUAUAGUGCAGUUUUUACAUGUGAAGUUACAAAAGUUUAGCACUAAUUAGUGUAGUUUGUAUAAUAUGCUGUGUAAUUAAAGUAGCUCUUGCAUUAUUGCAUGUGAAGUUCGACAAAUUUAGCACUAAUUAACUUGUAAGUAAAUUCCGUAAUGAAUCAUAAUAUCAUAAAUCAAUCAAAUGGUGGAAAAACAAAGUUUAUUUUUGGAGAUUUGGAAGGGACAUAAUUCGAAAUUAUACUAUGACAGACCAAAUGCAUUCCCGCAAGCAAAUCAAUGUGACAGGAAAAGAAUACGGUAGUGAUCUCUUGAUCGCACAACAAUCUUGUCAAAAGCGUUUGUUCAUGAAUAAUUAGUGCAAUAUCUUACAAAAUAAUGCAACUUUCUACUAAGGGUCCGUUUAGUUUGCGUUACGUAACAUUACAAAUUAUUUCGGCACAUUUAAAUAUCUUAAUUUUUUUUAAUAAGAUUAUUAUUAAUACUGUAUUAGCGCGUUUGGUUGAAUACAGUAAUAUCAUACUGGAUUGCAGUGUAUAUAACAUUGUUAUAUAAAGUGUAAUCUAUUUUAAAAUUAUCCUUAGUUAUAUUUGCAAAUUUUUUUAUUGCUUACGAAUAAUAAUUUUUUAUUAAAAUUUAUUUUAAAUAAUUUAAAUUUUGAAUUUAAAUUUUAUUUUUUAAUAUUUUAAUAUUUUAAUUUAAAAUGUAAAUAUUUUUUAAUAUAAAUAUAAAUAUAAACAUAAAAUUUAAUAUUUUAAUUUAAAAUUUAAAAUUUAAAUUUUGUAUAUUGAAAAUUAAAAUUUUAAAAUUGACAAUUUAAAAUUUUAAAUUAAAAUGUUAAAAAUAACAUAUUGAAAUGGUUUGGGGGUUCGAAAGGAUAAACUUGUAAUUUUAUAUAAAUGCAAGAUAACCUGACAUCAGUAAUAUGACAUACUCAUCCUGCGAACCCAUUUAGGGUGAGAUUAGCUAACCCCACCCUCCAAAUUGGGUGUUUGGAAAUAACUUCGUGGUUAAGGGGUUAUUCUCUCUUUUAAUUCCGAACCAAACGGUGGCUAAGUUAUUUAAAGUUUUUAUAUAAAAAGUUCAAAAUUUGAAGAGCCAAGUUCAAAGCCAAUGAUAGUUGAGGGGGCUUUCGUACAUUUUUGCUCUUUUUUUAAUUUUAAAAUCCCACUCGACCUACCCAGUGAAAAGAAACAAGCACCACUUUUCUUGGGAAUCGAAGAGAUAUUGAAAAUAAAAUCCAAUACAUUGUAUAUGGAUGUUAUAAAUGUGUAGGAAUACAAUAACGUUGCAUGAUAAGAUAAAAGUUUAGAAGCUCUUUUUUUUUUUCUUUUUUUUUUUUAAUAUCCUUUUUCAUCGAAAUGCACGAGCGAGUUUAACAAUCAACUACUUUAGUAAAAAAAUAAAAAUUAACUUUUAAAGUAGGAGGGUACGUGGUUUUUUUCUUUUAUCGGUAUCGGACGGUCGUGUUUUUGAUGAUAUUUAAAAAAUUUAAUAAAAAUUUAGUUAUAAUAGUCGAUUAAAAUGAAUUGAUUCUUUAUGUACAAAAUGGACCAAUUGAAACAAAAAAGAGGACGUAAUAUGAAGAGUAUCGAAUAAUUCAUGCAAUCAAUUUAAGACUAUAUUAUCUGCUUUGAUAAGCAAUAUUAUAUUACGCAUAUCACAAUAAGUCGAUUAAAAUAUAAAUUUUAUAGUCUUAUUGGAAACGAAUAAGGCAUGUCUUUAUACAUCUUCACCCAAACUCCUUUUUUCCAACAGUAUUAGACAUGUAUAGACUCCUUUAAAUCAAACAGAUCGUAUAUGUCGGAUCAUUGAUGCUAACCAUUAAUCCCAAUAGUCCGAGCUAUUAGAAGUACACAAUUAAUUCACUUAAAGUGUACAGAUACUGCACCUAUGGGUUACAAUCGUGAUUCGAUCCAACCAAUCUCACGCUAUUUUGAACAUGACUCGACCCAAUCUGGACUCUCGCUAUUUCGAACAUUACUGGGUCUAAUCUGACCUCCAUGUGAUAGAAUAGGAUAUUAUCCUAUUUAAGCCAAUAAUAUAGUAUUAUAUAAAUUUGUCGAUAUAUUGUAAAAUUAUACUGAAGUUUUUUUUGUCACAAAAAAAAACCAAAGCACUUCCCAAUCAUUAAAACCCCUGACCUUAAUGAUAUCUUUCUGCUACAAUCCUCAGAGGACAGGUGCUCCAUACUUUUUUUUUUUUCUGUCAGAGCCUGUUCUGAGUUUCAGAUUUCAGAACGAAUGGGGUUAGCAGGAAAACCCAUCUCCUUGAUUAUUAACAAGACCCAGCAAAUGGGAAAAUGACAGCAGGCUGUGGCUCUUUUCAUCUCCUCAGACCACUACUUUAUCUCUCUCCAUCUCCUGCAGAAGAGAAAUACCAGAAGCAACAGCAUGAACACAUCUAUCUAUUUCUAUUUUUUCUAUUACAUUAAAGGAGGGUUGGGGGAACCUUAGGUUGACACCUGUCCCCCACCCCUCCACUUCAUUCUCUCUCUCCACACACACACACACACACACACAUAUAUAUAUAUAUAUAUAUAAUUAAUUUUAUUAAUAAAUUGUCUAACAGCUUAUUAGUAAUUAAAUUUUGAUAUGAAAAUUUAAAGUUUUGAUACUUUCAAAUUUUAAAAUUUUAAAAUUUUAAAUUUUAAAUUCUAAAUUUUAAUUUUAACUUAUAAUAUUCAUAAUUUUAAUUUUAAAUUCUAAAUUAUAAUAAUUAAUUAAAUUAUAAUAUUAUUAAUUAAUUUUAUUAAUAAUACGCAUAAUAAAUCACGUAAUAAAAUCUAACCUGAUAGAUAUAAUUUAAAUCACGUAAAAUAUCGUUGUAUAAAAAAAAUAUAGUAUUUAAAUUUUAGGAGUAAAAUUUUAGAAAUAUAGUGUAUUUCUGUGUAUAUAUAAUUAAUUUUAUUAAACAAUUUCAUUUACAAUUUUAUUUUCCUUCUAUUUAUUGAUUUUUUUAAAUUAUUUUGAUAGAUUUAUCUCAAAUCCUUUUCAUAUGUAUCUUUAUAAAAUAAAUUAUUAUAUAAAUUUACUUUGCGCAUAUAUCAAUUUUAAUGACUUUUAUUUAAAUAGAUUUAACUACUAAAUUAUUUUUAUAUAAUUUUUGUUUAAUUAAUAAUUAAACUUAUAAAACUAUAUAAAAAUAUUAAAAAAAAUAAAAUUUAUUAUAAAAAUAAUUUUAUAUCCGCAACAUCGCGCGGGUAAUUCACUAGUCACACACUCAUGGGUGGUUGUUACAUUUCAAUGAUUGGAGGAGGCCAUGUUUGUAGUGGGGAGGAGUUAGAGAUGUCAACGGGUCGGAUUCGGGGCGGAGUUUUAAAAACCCGAAUCCGAACCCGAACCCGACUCCAAACCGGAGACCCGAACCCGAAUCCGAAUCCGACGGAUUUUAAAAAUUCAUAUCCAAACCCGAACCCGACCAAAAAUUCGAAACCCGAACCCGAAUCCGAACCCGAAAAUUUUAAACCCGAAAUAAUUAUUUUUUUUUCAAUAUUUCAAAUAUAUUAUAUUAAAUCUAAAAUUUUAAAAUACAAAUUCAAAUAUAUAUAUAUAUUAAAAUAAAUUCGGGUUUGGGUCGGGUUCGGGUCGGGUUCGGGUUCGGGUCGGGUACGAUCAAAAUCCAUAUCCAAAUCCAUAUCCGUCGGGUUUUUAUUUUUGAUAUCCAUAUCCGAAUCCAUAUCCAUAUCCAUCGGAUAUAUCCGUUUCAUUCGGGUUCGGAUUCGGAGAAAAUUUCAGAUAUCCAUACCCAUUGACAUCCCUAGGAGGAGUGGUUUCAUUUGAGCAUUUAUUGAUAAGUGAAUGCAUGCACCUCAAAAGAAGCAUCAUGUGUUUUAAUUAAGGGAUAAUUACCUAUGUACCUUUCAAAACAUCAAAAAUAUCUCAUUUAUCCUUCUUUUUUUUUCUUUCCAAUAUACCCAUCAUAUGUUCCUCCAUUAUUUCAAAAUAUCCCUACAGUUACUAUCCAUUAAGUUAACUUGAAUUAAAUAUGAGUUAAAUAUCUAUCAGAAUUAAAAAAUUAAAAUGCCUCUUUUGCCCUUAAUUUUAAGGGCAAAUAAGAAAUGUUGGUGAUGUUAGAAGGGUAUAUUCGAAAAAGCUAAAAAUCAAUAUGCUUUUGUGUCCCUAACUUAAAAACAAAUAAGAAAAGUCGGUAAUGCUGGAAGGGUAUAUUUGAAAGGGCAAAAUAAUAAUUUCAUACAGAUAACAGCUAUUACAAACAGUUCAUUAACAAAAUUUAACUCUAAAGGUAUAUUUGAAAUGGGUUGGAACAUAAAAAAGUUAUUUUCAAUAUUAGUCUUGUAAGAGGGAUAAAUAAGUCGAAAAUUUUUCAGGAAUAUAUAAGUAAUUGCCCCUUUAAUUAAAUAACAUUGUGCACAAUCAGAAGAGUAAUUGGGAGUUGCCUAUGAAAAGUUUCUGACCAGUCUAAAGAUAUAAUACAUUUGAUGAAACUCAUCUAACCCAAAAAUUAACUCAGUCCUGUCCUGCUAGAGUUGGAUCUGUUUUAGUAUAUAUUAACCUCUUAGAAUUGUGCUCAACUCUUUUAUGUGUACUAAACUAUAAUUGCAAUACUAUGAGCCACUGACUCGAUCGCACCACACCAUUUAAACGAAUUAUCUGAGAUCGUCAAUCGUUAUCUCUAAUAUCACUUGUGAGAGAAUUUUGUCCCAAAUCAUUUGAGAUUGUUAGAAGAGUGCUACCAUAUUGCCAGAGAGCUUGAUAUAUAGGAAAGUAUAUUCAUUUAUUUCAGUAAAUAAUCACAUAUGUAGGGAUCACAUUCAAAUGCACCUAUAAGAGAGAGAGAGAGAGAGAGAGAGAGAGAGAGAGAGACCUGGUCAUAGUCUCAUAGAAGGAACCAUGCAACACACACACACACCAAAAAAAGAGAGAGAAAAAAAAAAAAAAAAAAAGGAAAAGAAAUUGGAUUUUAACUGGGUGUUGUUGCACCUAUAACAAAAGGUAAACUUCGAAUACCCCUGUGAUUUCACACUUUCUCACUUUCGUAUUCUGUAGUUUAAACUGUAUUAAAUUAGUCUCUAUGGUUUCGCACUUUCUCACUUUAGUACCCUAUAGUUUAAAAUGUAUCAAAUUAGUACCAUAUAGUUUUAUUUUUCUCUUUUUAUUAUCCAUAUUAUUAAUUUUUUUCGUUAAAUCAAUGACAAAAUUAAAAUUAAAGAAUACUAAAGUGAAUAUUCGACAAACCUAAGUAGGGUAUCUGAAGAAUUUUUGUAUAUAAUUUAACGAAAGAUUAACGGAGGAAAAAAAUUAGUGACAAAAUUAAAACUAAAGGGUACGAAAGUAAAUAUUCGAUAAACCUAAAUAGUAUAUCUGAAGUUUUUUUGUAUAUAAUUUAACGAAAUAUUAACAGAGGAGCCGACGAAAAGAGAAAAAUGAAACCGCAGGGUACUAAAUUGAUGCACUUUAAACGACAGGGUACUAGAGUGAGAAAGUGCGAAACCACAGGGUACUAAAUUGAUACACUUUAAACCACAAGAUACUAAAGUGAAAAAAUACGAAACCACAGAGGUGGUAUUUAAAGUUUUGCCUAUAAUAAAUCCACCCAUCCUCUCUCAAUGUCUCCAUGAAAAACUACUACACCAUAGACAAGAAGUAUAUGUUCAAAUAAUUAAUCUCUUCUUAAGCCAUGUAAUUAAGUGUUUCUAUCCUAAGACAUAAAUUAUUAUGUUUAGAUUCUCAGCUUAUUAUCUACUAAUUAACGCGUAAAUGAGAUUAUAAAUUAUUUGUAAUUGUACUUUAAUGUUCUCUAUCGAUUUAUCAAAAACGAGCUGAGGAUGAGGAAGGGGACGCGCAGAAAAGUAGAUUUUUUGCAAUUUAUUACCUUGUUAUAGUAAAUAACUUACAGAGAUUUUGUUUGUUGAGAAUCCGUAACCGGUUAUAAUAUAUACCAAUUACUGCAAAUUCGGUACUCACUUUAGUAUCAGUUGUUGGAAUUCUAUAAUAGAAACAUCUGAACAGAAUUUUACCAUAACCCGCCUCCUCAGCAAAUGCUGGUAUUCAUAAAAAAAAAAAAAUGUAAAAUAAAAUUUAUUAAGCAAGAGAAGAAUUACACUCUUUUUUUUUUUUUUUUUUUUGCACUGAGUAGUUUCAACCUGAAUUCUUUUUAUCGCGAGAAGGGGCCAAAAUAUACAUAAAUAGAAAUUUCGGCGGAUAAAUAUGAUUUUACCUAAUCAAUUUUUUUAUACAAAAAAUAUAUUGAUUAAACAAUUAAUAAUUUUAUUUUUUUUUUUAUUUACACUCGCUUAAUUUCUAAUUAUUUUAUUUAUAUUAUUCCAUUUAAAUAACUUAGGAAUUUUACUAAAUCUAAUAGUAAUUAAGUUCGUUAUCUAAUUUCCUAAUUUUUAGUAAAUGUAUAAAAAUUAUAACAACGGAUGACGAUCAGCUAAUUAAGCUAUUAAAUUUAACAUAAUAUUUUAUUUAAUUAAAUAAAAUAGUUCAUCCAAAAUAAUUAGAAAAGUUGAUGAAUUUAUUUCAAAAAUGCCCUCCAUAUUUGCACCCAUUUCUUUCAGAUUUUAGUGGGAAAAAAAAAUUAUAAUAAGACUAGUAGAGAAAUAUGUUCCAUAAGGAAGAAUUGCUCUAAAAUAAAUAAGAAGAAAGAUAAAGCAUUAUUUUUUAAAAUUAGUUAAAAAUUUAUUAGCUACCGAAGGACUGUUAAGUAAAUUUUGAAAAGUUAAGCGGCGCAACGGCCACCUUGGGACUAUUCAGAGCUCCGUACAGAUAAAACUUCAGUGGGAGCUUCCCCAAUGUCGCCUUAUCUAUGUGAAUCUCUCUUAUCCCUCUAUCAUCUUCUGUCAAGGAAAAAGCUUCAGUGGCUUGUCAGAGAGCUCCCGAUCUGCUGUCGCAUGUUUGUUGUGCCUCCGUAUACAAGUUCAUUAGGUGUUUUUCAAUAUUAAGACUAAAAAUAUUAAAUAAAUAGUAGAGAAAAGAUUAUAACUUUUGAAUAAAGGCAAAACUAAUACGUGACAGCAUAUCGGGAGCUCCUCGAGCUCCCCACUAAAGCUUUUUUCUCCCGUGCCAGCGCAGAAGAUCUCUCUCUCUCUUCCCACGCACGCAGCGCUCGUCCUCGCUCCCGCCGAAUCACCUUAGCAGUACAAAACCUCUAUAGGGCCUUCACAAAUUAGCCCUAGUACAUUUCUGUAGCAUCCGUACCAUUAAUUGCACAUAUAUAUAAUGCUACAUAAUAAUAAUAAUAAUAAUAAUCCUAGUAUACUUUGAACUACUACCUAAAUUUAAGACUAAAUUGCACGUUUAGUUCGAUCUCAAAUUAUGACAUAUGAGACAAUUUGGUUUUUAAAUUCUAAUUUACUGUACUUACAUUUUGGUCCACAAAUACUAUAUUAUUUUACAGUCUGUUGUACUAAUCAAAGAACGUAAUAUGUAUUCAAACAGUUGGAUAUUUCUAUUCCUUUUAGUGAAAAAACAUAAAGAAUAUAGAAAAAAAGGAAAAGAAGGAUAUUUACUUUCAGUACUCCCCGCCUUCUCGAACUGUCCCGCUAUCCACGCCUUCGCAUCUACUAUUCGUGUUACGUUCGAGCCCUCGCUGCUGUCAUCGACUGCAGCAGAGAUGUAAGCGGCAGAGGGAGAGGAGCGCAGCAGCGACGUGCGGACAGUGGAAGAAGAGGAGACAAAAAAAUAAAAAUAAAAAAAAAAAAAAAAAGGAAAGAGAAAGAGUAAAAAUAUUCUGACCAAUUUUUAAAAAUUUCGACCUCAAUUUGUAAAAUCGAAAAAUGUCGCUGGACUUUGGACCAAAAUCAAUUAAUUUUUUUAAGGCAAAAAAAAGUCAAUUUACAUUUUUUUCUUAAUUUUUUUUUCAAAAAAAAAUGGAGAAUUGAAAAAAAGAAAAAAAAAAAAAGGAGAAAUUUUGUUUUUUCUAUGCAGGAAUCAAACAGCCAUUCUUCAUUUAUUGCACUGUACUAGUGAAUUACCCGCGCGAUGCUACGGAUAUAAAAUUAUUUUUAUAAUAAAUUAUAUAUUUUUUAAUAUUUUUAUAUAGUUUUAUAAGUCUAAUUAUUAAUUAAAUAAAAAAUUAUAUAAAAAUAAUUAUGCGCAAAGUAAAUUUAUACAAUAAUUUAUUUUAUAAAAUUUAUAUGAAAAGAAUUUGAGAUAAAUCUAUCAAAAUAAUUUAAGAAAACCAAUAAAUAAAAAAAAAAUUGUAAAAAAAUUAUUUAAUAAAAUUAAUUAUAUAUAUACACAUAUGCACUAUAUUUCUAAAAUUUUAGUCCUACAAUUUAAAUUCUAUAUUUUUUUAUACAACGAUAUUUUAUGUAAUUUAAAUUGCAUUUAUUAGGUUAGAUUUUAUUACGCGUAUUAUUAGAAUUUAGAGAUUUAAAAUUUUAAAUUUUGGAAAGUUUAAAAUUUGAAAAUAAAUAUUAUAAUUUAAAAUAUGAAAUAUUAAAUUUAAAAUUUAAAACUUUAAAAUUUAAAAAUAUCAAAAUUUUAAAUUUUGUAUUAUAUAUAUAUAUAUGUGUAUGUGUGUGUGUGUUUGUGUCUGUGUGUGUGUAGAAAGAGAGAGAAUAGGAGGGUUGGGGGGACACGUGUCAAUCUAAGGUCCCCCCAAACCCUCCUUUAAUGUAGUUAAUAAAAUAGAUAUAUAGAUUGAACUCAUCCUCUGCUUUAUGUAUAUAUAUAAAUAAAUACAUAAAUAAAUAAAUAAAUAAAUAGAUAGGUAAAAGUGAAAGAAGAUUCCGCACCUAUAUUCUAAUUUUAGAUAGACCCCUCAACUUUUUUCUUCUGGUUUGAAUUUUAAACCUUAGUUAUGUUCAAAAAAAUAAUCAAAAUUUAAUGAUUUUAUUAGUUAUUAAUCAUUAGUUGCUCAAGUUUUAUUUGUUAAAAAAAUGAUUAAAGUUAUCGAAUUCGCUGAAGUCGCCAAUAAAUUUGAUAAAUUUUCUGAUUUUUUUUAACUAGGGUAUCAAUUAAAAAAAUAAAAAUUGAGGGGUCUCUUUUAAAGUAGCCUAUAGUUGAGGAGUCUUCAUGUAUUUUUACUUAAAUAAAUAAAUAAAUAUAGGAAGAGUCGAAAGGAAACUUACCAAUAAAUUGAGUCUCCAUAAUUUAAAAAGUAGUCAAAACAUACAGGAGACCCCUCAACUUCUAUUAUUUUUCACUGGGACCCUUUAACUUUUUUUUUUCUCUUUUUUUUGGAAUUAAGUGAUUUUAGGGGAUUUAUCAACUAAUUGAUGUUUCACCAAAUUUAAUAAUUUGAGUCACUUUUUAGCAAAUAAAAGCGGAACAAUUAGCAACUGUUUAAUUAAUAAAGUCAUUAAAUUUAAUAAAGUUUUAAUAUAACAAAGUGAAAAAACUCAUUAAAAAAAAUUAAAACCUAAAAAAGUCUCAACCAAAAAAAAAUAAAAAUAAAAAUACAAAUAAAAACUAAGGGAGCCUAUUUCAAAAUGGCCUAUAGUUGAGGGGUUCUCCAUACAUUUUUACGUAAAUAACCGGGCUUUUUUGGGCAUUUAGCCCUCUCAGAAAAAAAAAAAAAAAAAUCCACAAAUAACUCAAUAAAAUUUAUACUUGCAAGAUUGACUCUGUCCCGCCACGUAAACGCCACGUGAACGUGACAAUGUAGGUUAAGUUGAGCAUGGUACUGAAUCAUUCACCGUAUUUGGAUAUUGUGAAUGGUUCACCGUAUCCUUCCUAAACAUCAAACUCCAAAUAUUACUUAUACCGUGAUAGAAAAAUAACGGAAUACGGUGAAUCAUUCACUGUAUCCAAAUACAGUAAAUGAUUCAUCAUAUUCAACUUAACUUACACCCUAUCCACGCCCACGUGGUGCUCGCGUGGCGAGGAUAAGAUCAAUCUUGUAAAUAUAAAUUUUGUUGGAUAUUUUUUAACAAAAAAAAAUUUUUUGAAGGGGUUAAAUGCAAAAAAAAAUUAAAAAAAAAUAAAAAAAAAAAAACCUAAAUAAACAUAGGAAGCUUUAAAAGGAAACUUAGCAUUGAAUUGAGUCUCUAUAUUCAAAAGUAGUAGUCAAAAGAUAUCAAAAGGAGAUCUCUCUUUAAUUAGUGAUAUUUUAUUUUUAUUAUUAUUAUUGCUCUUGUUGUUGUUGUUGUCUCCAUUGUUGUUGUUAUUGUAGGAAAAAAAAAGCUGCUUUAUUAUGUUUUUCAUUUAUUAUUUUAUUAUGAGUUUCAUAUUAAAAUUGAAUUUUUAUUUAUUAAAUUUUAGAUAUCAUUCAAUAAAACAUAGAUAUAUAAAAAUUUAAACACGGAUGUAAAAUUUAUUAUAUUGUUGCUAAUUUUAUUUCAUAUUUAUAUGUGAAUAUAAAUCCCUUCGUGCUCAUAAAUUUUCGACUGUUGGAUGAAGUAAUAUACAGUUAAGAUGAUCGUAGUCGUCCCCUAUAGAGACUAGAGUUGAGUGGGUGGUUGGUUGAAUAAUAUGAUCUGACAGAUAAAAGCGAUCAAACUGAAAGAUCUAACGAUCGAAAACUUAUGAAUAUAAAGAGAUCUAUACUCAUAAGGGUAUAGUAGUCGGACUCAAUAUAUUAGCAUAUAUUACUAUACAAAUAAUAUUCGAAAUAUUUGAUCUAAUUUGAAUCGGGUUUUAGCGAAUAUCGUAACAAAAAUUUAGCAUCCAACGCAUAUCUGUAUUCGAAUUCAAGUCAGGAAAAAAAAAUACAGAUGAGAAUAUGAUUUCGUUAAAUAUUCAAUUGUGUUCGGUCGUUUUCACCCCUAAAUAUGCAUAUAUAAAUAGAAUUAGGCUGGAAUACUAUUAAUAGUAAAACGCUCUUGCUAUCAAGUUUUUAACCUUUGGAUGAAAAAUUGUAAGGUCGGGAUGAUAUUAGUUGGUUAGAGUUCAGUGGUUCCCCUAGGGUUGAGUGGUCCUUAUUGGGUUAUAGUAUUUAAUCCAAUGGUUAGAAAUAAUAAAAAGAGUUGAUCCAAAGGCUAAAAAACUGGUAGCAACAAUGGAAUUUUGCUACUAAUAGUAGCCCAGUCCAACUCUAUAUAAAUAUAAACUAUAAUUAGCACAACUAAUUAAGACAUAAUGCAACUAAAAAUCUAUACUUGUGUUCAAAAUUCAUAUGCUUAUAAUCUAUUCAACAAAAUUUAAGUAUCUAAAACUCAAAAAUAAAAUAAACAAAUAAUAUAGUAGAAAACCAGGUUAUCUCUGUAUAAUAUAUAUUAGCUUCCUCCUUUAUAUCAUAAGGGCGAAAACAAUCAAAUACAAUGAGAUUUUUUACGAAAUCAUAUUCAUAUUUUAUUUCAAAUGCGAAUUUAAAUGCGAAUAUAUAUAUAUCCGAUACUAAAUUUUAACAUUUCUAUGGAAUAAAUUCGGUGUCGAAUUCGAUCAGAGUUUUUUCUAAUCAUUUUCGAUUCUUAUCCUUUUGAAGCAUUUAUGUGUUAAAAAAAAGUGCUUCUCCCACCAACAACUCACCAUCAAUUUCCUUUUAUGGAAUUUAAAAAUGUGGGGCUAAAACUUUUGCUCAACUAAGCAAUUAUUAAUUACAAGGAUCCAGGACUAAGGAGAGAAAAUGUUAUUACUGUUUUGGGCAUGUGUAAUUAAGUUGCAUUUUGCAAGUACUCUAAAUAUUUUAUUUAUUUGCUUAUAAGUACUUGGUUUAUAAUUUUGUAUGUACGAAUAGAAAUGCACGUGCACGUUCAUUUUCCACACAAAAAAAUAAAUAAAUAAAUAACAUAAAAAAAUCAAAUUUUACUUGUAAAUUUUGAUACUUUUAAUUAUAAUCAUCUAAUUUAACAGAAAAGCAAUUGCACUUAAACAUGCAUUUGUAAAAUAAUAACAAUAAUAAUAAUAAUAAUAAUUAUAAUCUCCAAAAUACCCUCUAAAAUAUUGUAAAAUAUCUCUACCCUUUAACAAAUAAAUUAGAAUUAGAAAAAAUCGCAAAAUGCAUAAAACGCUUCUGUAAAAAAAAAAUUUAAGUUGAUGUAUUUAUUUUCCCUCCAUGCUCUUUCGCUAUAUUGAAAUUAUUUUUAAAAAUAACAGAAAUAUAUUAAAAUGUUAUGAUUUGAUUAAAUUUGUCGUUGAAUUCUAAUUGGAUUAGAAUUAAUAUUUAAAUACAUUGGAAAUAAAUUAAUUAAAAUUCAAAUACUAAUUAGAGUAAAGAUUUAAUUGGACUAGAAUUUAAAUAGCUUUUGAUAUAAAAUAUAAAUAUAAUAUAGAUGCUAUUAUUUUGGUGGUGGUGGUACAGUUUCGUCACACCAUAAUAAUAUAACUAAGAUGGUCAUGACUUUGGAUGUGCCUAGUGUAUUGGUAUAAGAGAACAUGUGCGGCUUUCGUGGCCAUGGAUCAGUGGUAUAUCUUGUGUAUAGGUUCACAAGAUGAGAGAGAAAGAAUUUUGGGUUUAUAGAAGAUGAAAGAAGGGUGAAAGAGAUUCAGAAAGAGGGCUCGGAUUGAAGCUACUCUGUGUAGAAAAAAUGUCAGGUGUAAUUCUUCUCUUGUUUAGUGAAUUUGAUUUCACCCAUAUUUUCUAUUUGGUUUUUUCUCUAUUUUGUAGUUAUACCAAUUUUUGCUAAGGAGAUAAAUUUAUGAUAAAAAUUUGAUAUGACGUUUCUAUUGCGAAAUCUCAACAAUCGAUACCGAAUUCAGUAUCAAGUCAGCAAUAGUCAAUAUCAGAGUGGAUUGUGAAUUCUCAAAAUCUAGUAUCACAGCGAAUAUCAGAUUUCCAACAGUAUUGUAUUCAAAAACAGUUGGUUGAUAUUCAGUUUACGGAAUUAAAAGUUGAGAAUGCGAUUCAUAAAAUCUAUUUCUAUCUAUUACAUUAAAGGAGGGUUGGGGAACCUUAGGUUGACACCUGUCCCCCAACCCUCCACUUCAUUCUCUCUCUCCACACACACACACAUACACACAUACAUAAAUAUAUAUAUAUAUAUAUAUAUAUAUAUAUAUAUAUAUAUAAUUUUAUUAAUAAAUUGCAUAACAGCUUAUUACUAAUUAACUUUUGAUAUGAAAAUUUAAAGUUUUGAUACUUUCAAAAUUUAAAAUUUAAAUUUUAAAUUUUAAUUUUCUAUUACAUUAAAGGAGGGUUGGGGAACCUUAGGUUGAGGCGUGUCCCCAACCCUCCACUUCAUUCUCUCUCACACACACACAUUAUUAUAUAUAUAUAAUUAAUUUUAUUAAUAAAUUAUAUAACAGCUUAUUAGUAAUUAAAUUUUGAUAUGAAAAUUUAAAAUUUUGAUACUUUCAAAUUUUAAAAAUUUAAAAUUUUAAAUUUUAAAUUCUAAAUUGUAAAUUUUAAAUUCUAAAUUUUAAUUUUAACUUAUAAUAUUAAUUUCAAUUUUAAAUUCUAAAUUAUAAUAAUUAAUUAAAUUAUAAUAUUAUUAAUUAAUUUUAUUAAUAAUACGCAUAAUAAAUCACGUAAUAAAAUCUAACCUGAUAGAUACAAUUUAAAUCACGUAAAAUAUCGUUGUAUAAAAAAAAUAUAGUAUUUAAAUUUUAGGAGUAAAAUUUUAGAAAUAUAGUGUAUUUCUGUGUAUAUAUAAUUAAUUCUAUUAAACAAUUUUAUUUACAAUUUUAUUUUCCUUCUAUUUAUUGAUUUUUUUAAAUCAUUCUGAUAGAUUUAUCUCAAAUCCUUUUCAUAUGUAUUUUUAUAAAAUAAAUUAUUAUAUAAAUUUACUUUGCCCAUAUAUCAAUUUUAAUGACUUUUAUUUAAAUAGAUUUAACUACUAAAUUAUUUUUAUAUAAUUUUUGUCUAAUUAAUAAUUAGACUUAUAAAACUAUAUAAAAAUAUUAAAAAAAUAAAAUUUAUUAUAAAAAUAAUUUUAUAUCCGCAGCAUCGCGCGGGUAAUUCACUAGUAUAUUUUUAAAACCCACCAAAUGAUUGUAAGACCAACUAAAAUCUUAUAAGGCAUUUUUUUCAUAUCUCACCUUGGUCCCAUUAAUAUGGGAGGUAAGAUUUUUGGCCAUUUUGCGGGAAAAUCCUAUAUUCUUUUUAUUUUUCAUUGGCUAAAUUAUAAUUUUGGUUGUCAAACUAGAGAGGUGUUAUAUUUUGGUCCUUAAAUUUUAAUUUAUUAUAAUUUAUGAUUCAAAUUUUUUAGAUUGCGGCAACCGAGUCGCACAAUUGGAUUACGCCGACCAAAUGGUUUCACGUUGCUAAUGUAACAGUAAUUGUGACCGACAGUGUGACAAAUACCACGUCCUUAUCACGUCAACAACACAUCAAUAACUAUUCAAUUAAAUCUGAAGAGCCAUCAAUUAACUUAAAUCAAAUAAAUUAAAAGGUUAGAUACUAAAAGUAAAAUUUUGAAAGAUUGAAUAAUUGAAUCAAAAUAAUUUAUAAUUCAGAUAAAUUUUACACAUUUUUAUCCUAAAAUUUUAAGCCAGAAACUGCAAUAAACUAAGAUAAGUACGAUUUACCCUACCUGAUUUAGCGCCACCCUAUACAUAAAAAAAAUAUUACUUUAUUACCCUCUCUUACGGCAAAUAUUUUUAGCAAAAUAAAAAAUAAAAUUACAGUAUAAUUAAGUGUAAUUUUUUGUACCUGAUUUUACUUUUUUAACCUUCGGGGUAAACUUAUGUUUAACUAAUGGAUUAAAAUUUGAGUACUAAAAUGUCAUUCUUGCAUAGUUGGAGGACUAAAACUGUAUUUCUCCUUAAAGGUCAAAAAAAAAAAAAAAAAGGUUUUUGGGGGCGGGGAACACACGGCUACUUUUCAUCGUCCAACGCCCGGCGCCUCUCCACCGUUGAUCACGGUGUCUUUUCUUUUUGUUGCAUAAAACCCCCCUACAUUAACAAAUAUUUGAAUAGCGUCCCUCGCAAUAAAUACCCCAACCAAUUCCACCUCACAAACUUGAUAUGGAUGGAAAGAAAAUAAGAGUAAAAAAACAAAAAGAGAGAGAGAGAGAGAGAGAGAGAGAGAGAGUUUUGAUUAAAAAAGAAAUGUAUUUUCUUUUGCUAUAAUAAACUAAAAUUUAAGUACCAAAGUGUCAUGCACUUCAUAAAUUAUCUCUUUUUUUUUUAAGAAAAAAAUAAUAUGUUAUUCGUUUCGUUUAUUUUCUCUCAGAAAUAAAUUUAGCUAAAUAUGUGAAAUAAUUAGGUUUUAAUUUGAAACCUCUAAUCAGAGCGUAUUUUGAGAAAAAUAAACUUCAGCGGGGAGUUCCUCAACGAGCUCUCAUUAAGGAGCCCUAAUUUAUCGUCUCGUGUCAUUUUUAUCUCUAUUCAAAAAUUAUAAUUUUUUCUUCUAGAGUUUAAUUUUUUAAAAAAAUAUAUAGUAUUGAAAAAUACUAAACCAAAUAUUAGAUAGAGUAAAAACUAGCGCAUGACAGCAAAUCGGAGGCUUCCCGACGAGACAGAAGUUUUAUCUUCAUUUGAGAAGUAAAAGGCGUAAUGUAGCUAGGAAAGUAGCCCCAAUCCGCCGUUGAACAAUUGGAUAAAAGCAAAUCUUACAAUAUGACAGCAAAUCGAGACUCCCAGUGAGUUAGGGAUCUCUCCACUGAAGUUUUAUUCUAAUUUUGAUGACCAAAAGAGAGCCCUAAUUCGUCACCGCGCAUAACUUUGGUAUUAAAUAUUUUUUAAAAAAAGUUUUAAUAUUAGAAAACACUCAAAGAAUUAUUAGAUAACUGUAAAACCAUCAUACGGCAAUAAAUCAGGACUUUCCAGUAAGGCGUUUUACUCUAAUUUGAGGACCAAAAUCUCGUUAAAGACUCCUAAUUCAUCGUCACACGUCACUUUUAUUUUUUUUCUUUUUAAGAAAAAACAAGCAAGGAACUAUUUGGAUAUAUGUAAAAGUUGGCAUAUAAUAUUCACUUUUAAUUUAAUUCCUUUUAAGAAAAAACAAACAAAGAAACUAUUUAGAAAGACGUAAGGUAAACUUCAAAUACCACUUAUGUGGUUUCGUACUUUCUCAUUUUAGUAUUCUGUCGUUUAAAGUGUCCUACGGUUCCAUUUUUAUCUUUUCUUUAGCUUGUUCGUUAAUAUUUCGUUAAAUUACAUACAAAAAAAACUUCAGAUACUCCAUUUACGUACGCUUAUCGAAUAUUUAUUUUAGUACUCUUUAGUUUUUAACUUUGCCACUGAUUUAACGAAAAAAUUAAUAAAAUUGAUAAUAAAAAGAUAAAAAUAAAACCACAUGACAGUAAAUCGAUACACUUGAAACCGCAAGAUACGAAAGUGAUAAAAUAAAGUGAUAAAGUGUGAAACCAUAAUAAUGAUAUUUGAAGUUUUUUCAAUAUGUAAAACUGAAGUAUAAUAGUAAAUCGAGGGCUCUUCAAUGGGACGUCGUUAAGUAAGAAGCUCCGGUAUACUUCUAUAUAUAAAUAAACCUCCCACAUAUAUUGUCCUCCCCCUAUAUUUGGGUCUCUCUCUCUAAUUCUCACUUCACCACAACACCCACCACGCCCUCUUCCUCCUCCUCCUCCGCUUUUGUCAUGAUGGAGAACAACGAUCCCUUCUUCUCCGCCAUUAACACCGCCGCCGCCGCCGCCGCCGCAUCGGCCGCAAACUACUUCCCAUGGCGCCGCCCACAAUUGUUGGGAUCCGCCGAUCUCGACGCGCCGCGCAAUCGGAGUGCGAGGAGGAAGAGGAAGAGGAAGAGCUCUCAUGGAGUGAGGAGGAGGAGGAGGAGCUCCGUAAAGGAGGAGGAGGAGGAGAACAACGAUAACGACGAUGAUGACGAUGAGGAGGAGGAGGACGAGGAGGACGAGAACCCUUUAUUGUCUCCUAACAAGGUUUGCUUUGGUCCAUUCAAAUUGUUUGGGGAUUUUUUCUUUUCUUUUUUUUACUUUUUUUUUUACUUUUUUUGGUAAAAAUUGUAUGCAGAGGCCCCUCAAUUAUAGGCAAUUUUGACCUAUGCCCUUUAACUUUUUAAUUUUUUCUGUUUUUUUUCCACUGGGAGGGGGAUUGAGAACCCUCGAGUUUCCUAAAUUAUAGGUUUGAUCCAUUCAAAUAGUUUGGGGAUUUUUUUUUAUUUUUUCUUUUUUUUUUUUACUGUUUCUUGGUAAAAAUUGCAUGGAGAGCCCCCUCAAGUAUAACUCUGUUGAACAUUGCCCCUUAACUUUUUUUAUUUUUUUAUUUUUAACUGGGAGGGGGGGUUGAGAACCCUCGACUUUCCUAAAUUAUAAGUUUGAUCCAUUCAAAUAGUUUGAGGAUUUUUUUCUUUUUCUUUUUUUUUUUUACUUUUAUUUUUUUACUUGUUUUUUGGUAAAUAUUGUAUGGAGAGCCCCCUCAAGUAUAUGCGCUUUUGAACUAGGCCCCUUCACGUUCUUUUCGUUUUUUUAAAAAUUAAGAACCCUCGACUUCUAAAUUAUAGGUUCGAUUUAUUCAAUAGUUUGGGGAUUUCUUUUUUGUUUUACAUUUUCUUGGUAAAAAUGUAUGGAGAGCCCCCUCAACUAUAGGACGUUUUGAACUUGAUCCCUAACUAUAGGAUGCUUUAAUCAGAAAAAAAAAAAAUUAAAGGUUUUAUUAAAUUUCUAUAAAAUUUAUUGGCGAUUUUUUUCAAAUUUGACGAGUUUAGUCACUUUUAGCAAACAAAAUUAGGUUAAUUAUAAUACCUAAUAAACAAUGGGAUCAUUAGAUUUGAUGAAACUUUUAACUCGACGAAGUAUAAACUCUCAAAUUUAAAAAAAAAAAAAUGGAAGUUCAUGGAUUUCAAUACACACGCACAAAAAAAAAAAAAUAAUUGAAGGGACUACUUUAGAAUUUCCUGUAAUUGAGGGGUAUCCAUACAUUUUUUCAUAUAUAAUAUAUAUAUACAUAUUUUGGGACUAUGGGAUAUUUUGAAAGAGCCCCUAUCCGUUGAAAUUUCUCUUUUUGGAAUUGUGUUAUUCUAGUUAAAUAAAUUAAAUUUUUUAUCAAAUUUAUUAAAUGGUUUGAUUAUACUUAAUGACUUUAAUUAUUUCUUAAGCGAGUAAUGUUGGACCGAUUAAGAAUUAGUGACUAAUUAGAAUAAUUAAAUUUAAUAAUAAUUUUGAUUUAGAACCAAUAAAAUUUGAGAUAGUUAGGGGUCCAUUUCAAAACGGCGUAUAGCUGAGGGGUCUUCAUACAUUUUUACCAUUUUUCUCGGUAAAAAUUUUAGAGGGACUCAGGCGCAAUUAUUUCCUAUUUUUAUCGAUACUAUUUUAACUUUAAAAUUUUUAUUAAGUACUUUUUUCAAUUAAAUUAGAGAUUUUUGUUAAUGCAUAAUCCUUUCGAGAUUUCGUACAAACCAAAAAACCUUUUUUUUUUUAAGUUUUUCUUUCUUAAAAAAAAAAAAAAAACUUCAAAUACUAUUAUGUAGUUUCGCAUUUUCUCACUUUAGUAUCUUAUAAUUUAAAGUAUAUCACUUACAUAUCCCGUGGUUUUAUUUUUUUCUUUUUAGUAUUUGUUUUUAUUAAAUCAGUGACAAAUUUAAAACUAAAAAGGUACUAAAAUAAAUAUUCGAUAUACUAUAGGUGGGAUAUCUGAAGUUUUUUUGUAUAUGAUUUAACGAAGAGUUAACGAAGGGGCUGACGAAAAGAGAAAAAUAAAACCACAUGGUACUAAAUUAAUACACUUUAAAUCACAUGGUACUAAACUUAGAAAGUGCGAAACCAGAGGGAUGGGAUGGUAUUUAAAGUUCACCCAAAAAAAAUAAAUCAAGGGGCCGAGUUCAAACUUCCCAAUAGUUGAGGGGCUUCUUGUAAAUUUUCACCUUUUUUUAUUAACAAAAAAAAUUUUCAUCAAAUUUGUUCUAUUUAUUUAUGAACUCCCCCUAAAAUAGUUUGUGAAAUUGUGAAUUCCAGUUGACAGAUCAAGAUUCAAAUCCCAAAAGAUGCAGAGCUGAUCAAUCCGAAAGAACUGCGACAAUCAAUCCGAAAACCGCCGAAAUCGGCGCCAACAGAGAUUCAAAUGAGAAAGAGAACAGCAGCUCAAAGCAGGAUUACAUCCAUGUCAGAGCCAGAAGAGGCCAGGCCACUGACAGCCACAGCCUCGCGGAACGAGUACGACAAAUCUUCAGAUCAGAUCACAAUUUCUCUCGAACAAUCUCGAAUCGGAAUUUUUAAGUUCUUCAGUAAUUUCUCAUUUUCGCUGUCGAAACACCUGCAGGUCAGAAGAGAGAAGAUCAGCGAGCGAAUGAAGCUGCUCCAGAACCUCGUCCCCGGAUGCAACAAGGUAUGGAUGAGAGUAUAAGUGUGUAGUUGUUAUCCAUCUCAAGAUGCCGAGAACUUUGUGGUGCAGGUCAUGGGCAAAGCGCUGAUGCUCGACGAGAUCAUAAACUACGUGCAGUCGCUGCAGCGCCAGGUCGAGGUACGCGCGCAGUUAUCUUUCAGCUGAAAGAACCAUCAUGGUUGAAGUUUCUCGUCCUGAAUCAAAGUUUUCUACAGCUCUUGUCGAUGAAGUUGGCCGCCGUGAAUCCGCUCGACUUCUGCGUAAACAGCCUCCUCCGCCCGAAAGACGUAUGUUUCGAUCUCGUGCGACCGUUCGCGUUCUCGCUCGGUGUUGAACUUUGUGUGAAUUUUUUUUCCAGAUGAAUAAUCGAGCGCAGCAGCAGCAAGCGCCUGAUUUACCGGCGGCGCAGAUUUAUCAUCGGUCGGAGAAUUCAAGCGCGGGUUCUUCGUAUUCUCAGCGGAUUAAUGGGACUCCUCUCGAGAGUUUCGAAAACAAAUUCGUGUUCGAUGAAUUAGACCCCUCCUUUUGCAGCAGCAUCAGCAUGGAAUUUCCUACCCUUAAUGGCUUUGCCGAUGCUACUCAGGUUUAAAAAAAAAAAAAGAAAAAUUUGUGUUCUUGAUCUUUUUGGUAGUAGUAAUGGUUUCAAAGAGUAGAGAUUGAGAAGAGGCAUUUGUGUUUUUCUUUAGCUUGGGAAUUUCUGGGAGGAUGAUCUUCAGAGUGUUGUUCAGAUGGGCUUCUUCGGGCAGAGUCGAGACGCGCAAGCGAAUCUCCUCGCAGAGCUUCUGCGGUACAAAUUCGUUUUGAAAUCGGAUCGAAUUUGAGUUAAUAGAUUGCGAAUACGAAAUUUCGAAGUGUUUUAAGAGUUAUCUGAAACUUUUGUGUGCUUUACUGCAGGCCCUGCGACGACCGACAGCAGGAAGAUUGAGCUCUGAUCAUUCUGAAUUCUCGGUUCCAGUCGACGGUGUAUAUAUAUAUCGAGUCGUUUGUUCGAAAGCAGCGCAUAACGCAUCCCGACUAACAGCGUGUGCAGCGAUUGUUACAUCGACAUGGAACGAAAAUGCAGCAUGAUUCUCGCAACAUCGAGAGGAUUUUUUUUUUUUUUUUAUGCUAUCUUUGGUGUUCUGAUGUAUUAUUAUUGUGACAUUAUUCAUCAUUAAUUCACGAAUAUAUAUAUAUAUAUAUAUAUAUAUAUAUAUAUAUAUAUAUAUUAGGGCAUUAUUCGAAUCUUUAAGCAGCACGAACAGUAGAUUAGACCAUUUCGCAACAUAAGUGGUGCUUAUUCGAUGGAAAAUGGAAUAAUUCUGUAUGAAGAACUCCUGAAAUGCUAUCCCUUUAUCUUUUCUUAAAAAUUUACUCGAACUCAGUACCUCAUGCUCUGAUACUAUGUUAAAUUACGUGAAACAACCGUUAAUCUCCGACAGCUUAAAAUAUCAGAGAACGAUGUUUUUGAUAAUUACAAAGAACAAUACACUAGCAACAUGUGGAACAAACCCCCAAACAUACUUAUAAAUUCUCAUGUUAUGAUGCUAUAUUAAAUUAUGUGAAACAGCCGUUAAUCUCCAACAUCUUGAACUAUUAGAGAAUGAUGUUAUUGAUAAUUAUUUUCAACAUCUCCAAUAUAACACUGAGAAUAAUAAGUUAGCACAAUAUGUGGAAUAAACCAUCAAGCAAACUUAUUAAUCCUCAAUGCGCUGAUACUAUAUUAAACCAUGUGAAACCACCGUUAAUUUCGAACAUUUUGAGCUAUCAUAGAACGGUGUUUAAUUUUGAUAAUUAUUUUCAACAUCUUCAAAGUAACACUGAGAAUAAUAAGCUAGCAACAUGUGGAAUAAACCGCCAAACUAACUUAUUUUCUAAAUUCUCCUAUAACAAGAACAAGAAUAUAUAUAAGAGCUGUUACAUAAGAGGAGAAUAGUAUCAAAUGUGGAUAAAGUUGGGACCUUUAAUUCCUCAGUUUCUCUAAUUCUCCAAGAACCAGAACAAGAACAAGAAUAUAUAUAAGAGCUGUUACAUAAGAGGAGAAUAGUAUCAAAUGUGGAUAAAGUUGGGAACUUUAAUUUCUCAAUUUCCUACCCCCCCUAAAGUUGUAUUAGAGUUCAUAGAAAGGGAGUAGAGGGGGGACAAAGAAGAAAAGAAAUUGCAUUCCAGAGUGGAUAGAUUCUCCUUUGGGACUAAUUAAGAAUAUCUUAUUUAAAGAUUACUGUAAAAACACCUACUCUUAUUAUCUUAUAAACUCUUCUUUGUCCAUUACUUUCUUAAUAAACUGCAGGGAAAAUUAAUGUAACAAAGACCCUCUAAACUUUAGCACUUUUACUAAUAGGCGUCUGAACUUUUAAUUUUGGUAAUUACAGCAUCAAAACUUUAUUAAAUAAUUCAAAUUAAACCCUUAAAUAGACCUCUUUUCUCAACUGAAAUUACAAAUUUUACAACUAUUUCGGUCGCUUGUAUUGCAAAUAAUCUUGUAAAUUUUAAAGCAACAAAAAUCUGCUUCUCCUAUUACGACACAUAUUAAAAAAGAAUAAAGAUUAAAGAUAUAUUCACUGUGUUGUUCAAUCGUGAUGCUUAAUUAUCAUAACUAGAAGAGAAAAAAAAUAGAUUUUGUUUUUAAACUUUUAAGUUAUACAAAAUAUCACGGCCCGGAUUACCACGUUUCCUCGGACACGUCAACAGACCUGCCGUAUAUACAGAAAUUUUCCGUGUAUACGAAACGAUAGCUGUGCCUGCAACGGAAUAUAGUUACAACUAGAGUACAGAGCUGCUAAAACUGAAACAUGUGUCCGACCACUAACCCUAGAGACAUUACACAAAAUAAUAUGUGAAAAUAUGCGAAAAUAGUCUAUUAAAUUAAUCGAUAAAGUUUAACAGGUCUAGAGCUAAAGUUAAUGAGUUCUUUGUGUAAACUAUGUGAUAGCUUUACUGGUUAAAAUGCACCAAAUCCAAUGGUACCAAUCAAUGUUAAGUAGUUAAAAAAUAAAAACAAAAAAAAAAAAAAAAAAUCCCACUCUCAUAAGAAAUUGGGAUUACAGAGUGGAUAGAUUCCUUCAACCAUUGAAUUGCUCUAAAAGAAAACAUAAAAAAAUCCAACUCUAUAAUGUUAUUGACUCUUCUUUGUCCAUUACUUUCUUAAUAAAGUACAUUGUGGAGCUUUACUAGUUAAGAGUGUACCAAAUUCAACAUGCUUUUUGAUUGUUUUAAAAGUGUAUCCAUCCAUGAAAAGGUGAAGGCAAAUGGAUGGUUGCAUGUCAUUGUCUAUUGCUUGCUCUAGCUUGUUUAGUACAUAUGACUCAUUGCAUGCUCUUUACUAUUACUAUUGAUUGAGACACCACUUGAACUAAUCAUUGUUGGGUUGGUGUCUUUUUACUACUAACUCUUUUCCUUUUCCUUUUUUUGACUUUGUUGAGGAUUUAAGACCACUUUAGUGUUAAAUGUUGGCUAUAUUUUAUUGGCUAAAAUAAGUUUAACUUUCUGUCCCAUGAGAAUAGAUUCAGAAGACUAAUGAGUUGAGUUGGGUUGAGCCCAAUAAGUUGAACGAGAUUGCGGUCCAUAAUGAACCUAACGGCAAGAGACCCAAUAAUAGACGUAACGUCCAAGUGGGUUGAGGCAAAUUGAAGUCCGUGAAGCGCUGUGGCUAUGCUCUUAAUGCGAUGGGUGCGCACUUUCUAUCCGCACGUAUUUUUGGGACAGUUGGUUAGCGCUUAUGAUCCACACAAAAUCACAAAUUUAACCUUCUGUGGGUACUUGUAUGAUAGUAUGAUAGUUACUCUUGAAUUUGAGGGUCAGUUGGCCCAGCAAUAAAUUUCAAUUUAAAAAAGCAUCAAAUUAUAGUUAGUAAAACAGUAAAUAGACGAUGGCGGAUCAUAAAAAUGUUGCCCUAAAUAGAACAAUUUCAUAAUAAUAGGCUACAACACACCGAAUAAGCCAGACCAAACCAAUCCACAUGAUUUUUUAAGAUUUUGCCCGUUAUAGUUUUUCGAAUAAAUCUAUUUGCAAUGUUGAGGCCAUGCGUUUUACAUACGAUAUCCCCGAGAUGUUUUCUUCUUCUUUCUUUUUUUUUUUGGCUUUUCAAAAUAGCUCUACUUGAAAAACACUUUUACUAGUUCCGACCAAAGCCAAAUAGAUAAAACAUUACUUUCCAAUAGAGAAGCAUCAUUUACUUUGGCAUAGUUGGAAGAGCACAAGCUGUAAAGUACCAUAAGAUUCACUCAGAACCAUUCUUAGUGGACAUCUUCUUCAUAGCUUUCUAAUUGUUAAGCACAAAAACAACUAGAAACUCAGUUUUUACUCCUCUUUUUUGCCAGUCUUAUUUUAGGUUGACAGAGUAACAAAACAUCAUGUGUUUUGUUCCUGCCACUAACUUUUGUACCUGUGAUAAAUUUUUUUCUUACUAUUCUCACAAAUUGAGCUAAGGAUGUGUUAUUGUUGUUCAACUAAGUUUUUGGUCUACAUACAUAACUUUUUGCAUAGAAUCAUUAUAUAUAUAUAUAUAUAUAUAGAGAGAGAGAGAGAGAGAGAGAGAGAGAGAGAGAGAGAGAGAGAAUUAUGCUACUAUCGAUAGUACCAAGCGCUUGAUACUAUCAAGUCUUAGAUCGUUGGAUGAAAGAAUGUAUAGUUAGGAUAACAGUGGUAUCCUAGGGUUGAGUGGGUGGUUGGUUGAACAGCAUAAUCUAACGGGUGGAAAUAAUUAAAGGGUAGAUCUAACGGCAAAAAACUCGAUAAUAUUAAGAGCUUGGUACUAUCAAUAGUAUAGUAGCCGGACUAUAUAUAUAUAUAUAUAUAUAUCCUAAUUUAUUCUAAAGUUGGACUAUAUUUUAGACUCCACUUUUAGGAGCAAAUAUAUAUUAUGUUAAAAGGCUCGAAUCAAUUCAAAAUCAUAAACUGAUAGGCUGAAAAAUACCUUAACCACUUAUGUAUGAGCCACAAUUCUAAUUUUUAACCUGUACAGAACUAGUAUUCUUAAGAAUCAGCAUUACAAACAAAACCUUUUGUCUGAAACUAGCAUAUGCCAGAUCUAACACAUUAUGAUUCAAACUUUGAAAUUAUUUACAAUAAGUUUUCGUUUAAGUGAACAAAAGAUGCAAAUUAGAACUCAAUCUCCAAUGCAAUGCAGUAAAUAUUAAAUCAAAAAAACUUAGAUAUAUAAGCUCCCUUUUUUGUUUUAUCUUGUUUUUUUUUGGAAUUUUCAAAUAGAAAUUGGACAAAAACUACCCGGUUUAGUAAAUUUUAAAAUUCGAACCAGAAAAAGUUUUUCUAGCAUGAAGGUAAAGUGUUUAUAGACUAUACCUGACUGUUUUUCGCGCCGAACCAGAGUAUAAUAUUAUGAACCAAUACUAGUAGGCCCAACGAGUUACCAAUACUAGUGGGCUACAAGAACCAUUCUCCAUCUUUUCUAAAUUUACACAAUACUUGAUUUCGGUCGACAUAUCGAAUUUAUCGCGAAACGCCAAACUUGUGACUGUGCUUCUAACCCUAAUAGAUGCUGCAGAGAGUGGUCAACAACAACUGCACUCACUGUGGAAUGAAAAGGACCACCACAACACAUUUGGUGUGUGUGGUCUCACCCAAAAUGAUAGAUGGACUCAAAUGCAUCAAACACACCCCUCUUUGUUGGGAGAACAUCCAAAAGGAGUGUGAGUUGGUGACAUGUCUUAUUCAUUGCAGAAGGCAUGUUGUUUGUUAUUCAAUGAUAUCCAAAGCAUAGAGCUGGCAACCUGCAUCCUUACAAGAAGGUUCCGCAUAUCUCCGAGUUCUGCGGCACGAUCCAAACAACACCUUAGAGGGUAUUUGGAUUGACGAAUCUCUAGAUCCAAUGUAACUCAAGGACAGUAGUGUUUGGAGUUUUUCUGAAGUGUGAUUAUCUUUUUGUUGUUUAUUUUGAUAUAAUUCGUAUAGUCUGAAAAUUAAAUUCAAUCACUUCUUUUAUUUGUUUUGCUAUAACUUAUGCUAGUAAAAUUAGUUUUUUAGUUUCAUUAUUUAUUUUAAUGUAAGUAAGUGGAUUCUGUUACCUCCAAAAUAUAGUGAUAAACUUACCCCUAUAUAAUCCAACUUAUUAAAUAAUUAAAUUAC